rnacentral:rRNA from 1 species
GAUGAACGCUGGCGGCGUGCUUAACACAUGCAAGUCGAACGGAAAUAUAUUAUUAGCAAUAGUAAUAUAUUUUAGUGGCGGACGGGUGAGUAACACGUGGGUAAUCAACCUUCGACUAAGGAAUAACAAUGAGAAAUCAUUGCUAAUGCCAUAUAAGCUCACAGGGAUGCAUAUCACAGUGAGAAAAGAUUUAUCGGUCGGAGACGAGCCCGCGUCUGAUUAGUUAGUUGGUAGGGUAACGGCCUACCAAGGCGACGAUCAGUAGCCGGUUUGAGAGAGCGAUCGGCCACAUUGGGACUGAGACACGGCCCAAACUCCUACGGGAGGCAGCAGUGGGGAAUAUUGCACAAUGGAGGAAACUCUGAUGCAGCAACGCCGCGUGAAGGAAGAAUGUUUUCGGAUCCCCAACUUCUAUCGAUCGGAAAGAAAAAAAUGACGAGUACCGGGGGUAGGAAGCCCCGGCUAACUACGUGCCAGCAGCCGCGGUAAUACGUAGGGGGCGAGCGUUAUCCCGGAAUUACUGGGUGUAAAGGGUGAGUAGGCGGUUCUAAAAGUCAUAUGUGAAAUAUCCUGGCUUAACCGGGAGGGUGCAUAAGAAACUUUAGGACUAGAGUACAGGAGAGGUAAGCGGAAUUCCUAGUGUAGCGGUGAAAUGCGUAGAUAUUAGGAGGAACACCCAGUGGCGAAGGCGGCUUACUGGACUGAAACUGACGCUGAGUCACGAAAGCGUGGGGAGCAAACAGGAUUAGAUACCCUGGUAGUCCACGCUGUAAACGAUGAGUGCUAGGUGUCGGGUCGAGAGAUUCGGUGCCGGAGCAAACGCAAUAAGCACUCCACCUGGGGAGUACGGCCGCAAGGCUGAAACUCAAAAGAAUUGACGGGGGCCCGCACAAGCGGUGGAGCAUGUGGUUUAAUUCGAAGCAACGCGAAGAACCUUACCAAGGCUUGACAUACAAGUGAAGCAAUAAGAGAUUAUUGCGCCCUUCGGGGCGCUUGAACAGGUGGUGCAUGGUUGUCGUCAGCUCGUGUCGUGAGAUGUUAGGCUAAGUCCUGCAACGAGCGCAACCCUUGCCUUUAGUAGCUAACGUAAAGCCGAGCACUCUAGAGGGACUGCCGUGACAAACACGGAGGAAGGUGGGGAUGACGUCAAAUCAUCAUGCCCCUUAUGUCUUGGGCAACACACGUGCUACAAUGGCUGUAACAAAGCGAAGCGAAGCAGCGAUGCGGAGCAAAGCGCAUAAAAGCAGUCUCAGUUCGGAUUGUAGUCUGCAACUCGACUACAUGAAGUCGGAAUCGCUAGUAAUCGCGAAUCAGCAUGUCGCGGUGAAUACGUUCCCGGGCCUUGUACACACCGCCCGUCACACCAUGGGAGUUGGAUGCACCCGAAGCCAGUGACCUAACGCAAGAAGGAGCUGUCUAAGGUGAAGCCAGUGACUGGGGUG